ensembl:lncRNA
GAGCUCCCAAUGCCAAAUCAGCAACAAAGGAGGGAGGGGCCCGUGAGGCUCAGACAGCCCCCAGCAGGUGAUCUCUAAAUGAGGGCUUAAAAGAUGAGGAAAGUUUGAGCAAAGGAGAGACAGGAUCCUCCUGUCUGUGCUUGAAAUUACAGACCAUCCAAACCACAGAAAGCUGGGCAGCUGCUGGCAAGAUGGGAGCCGGCGGGUGAGCCCUGGGGUGCGCGCAGCUUGCAAACUUCUGACAAGACGUGUCCUUUGCCAGUCAAGGUGCUGCAGGGUGAAACACAACAGGGGAGGGCUGUGUGUCUGUGUGAAGAUAGAAACAGAGAUGGGGACAGCACGGCCUCGUCCCUGGACGAGAUCGGGCCACAGGCUCCCCUGACCAGGGUUGUGUCUCAUGGGGAGCCUGACGGAACGGCCAGUCUUGCGCUUCAGUGAUCCAAGGUGGCAGCUUUUGUUAGCUGGUGUGUCCCUUGUCACCGUGUCUACUGACUCUGCUUCCUUGGCCCCGAGCACGGUGUGGACAAAUUCCCUGUGGUAGGGUGAAACGAGUGGUCUGCACACGUGGGAGGCAUUUCAGCGCCAGUCACCAGCCGCGUGACCUGGCAUGGCUAUAAUGAAGAACAUAAACUCCUUCUCCACAACAGGUCAUUUUAAAAAUGCACAUGCUUUCCUUUUUGCCGAGCCUGACGACGUCGGUUGAGGCACUGCACGGCGUGCCCGGCACUCCUGCCUGACCCGGUGACUUCUCUGUGCAAAGAGGACAUGGGGAGGAUGGUUGAGAUGCACCAGACGGCCUCAUUAUGGCAAUGUGUUUCUAAGAUCAGUGUUAGGCGGAUUUGAUGACAUUUAGAAUUUAAUUAAAAUGUGGGAAAAUAAAGUUGUAAAGAUUAGAUCUGUUCCUGCAACAAAAAUCACUACAGAAAAAC